rnacentral:misc_RNA from 1 species
AACGCACAUUGCGCCCGCUAGUAUUCUGGCGGGCAUGCCUGUUCGAGCGUCAUUACAACCCUCAAGCGCAGCUUGGUGUUGGGGACCUAUGGUUAUCAUAGGCCCUGGAAAUCAGUGGCGGGCUCGCUAAUACCCCGAGCGUAGUAGAAUCUCUCGCUUAGGGCGUAUAGCGGGUUCCAGCCGUUAAAAACCCCACUGUUUACAAAAAGGUUGACCUCGGAUCAGGUAGGAAUACCCGCUGAACUUAA